GGCCACAUGGGGAGCUAGUGUAUUGGUGCUGCCCUGUCCAGCACAUUCUUCUCUCUCUGCCCCAAGGACCUGUCCCAGGGUGUGCACUAUGCAUAAGUCAUCCAUGCUUGCAGGGCCAGCUGAACAGCCACAGGCUCCAGGCCUGCAGAACGGAGAGCACUGCAAAACAAAGGGCACAGCCUUGGGCAGCUCCUAGAGGAAGAGCAAGGACUACAAGCACUCUCUGACCAUGGAGGACUUGACCCCUGCCCCACCCAGCUACAGAAUAACUCCAGUUUGGCCUCCGGUCACAAUUGAGACUUCAGUGAUCCAGUGAUGCUGUGAUUCUCCAGGACAAGAAACAUCCUGGGAGAACAAACAUCUGCUCAGAUCCUCAUUGUUCUUGGACUGUUAACAUCUUGUUUGCCGGAGAUGUACUGAACUCUCUGCAAGCCUUCCGUUACACCUUGUUUAUCCCAAUGUGAACUAUUGAAC
rnacentral:lncRNA from 1 species